CAAGAGAUCCCGUGGUUCUCAGUUUUCUGCUUUCUACACUGUCUACAUCUUAUAUGUGUUCAUUGAAGCUACAGAUUGAUGGACAUAGCUGUCAAACCUGAACCUACCAGGCCUCCUGGUCAUGUUUCUCCUCAGCUCUCAUCACAUUUAUAUGUUUUCUUACCCAAUUCCAUACAAAAAAUUUUACCAAGGCAGACCCGUUAAUUUUGGUAUGGAUCAUGUGAAUUUUGAAGAGAAUACGUACACCGUUAAUUUAUUCAUGCAUUCUGCUUUAUACUAUAGUCUACCCAAUUUAUUCAAUUAUUCUGCUUUGUACUGUGGUCUAGCCAUUUUAUUCAUUUUUUUCGCGUUGCCCUCCGCUGUCGUCCAGGACCGUCGCCCACGGCGCUGGCGACGAUUCACCGCCGACGUCAUCGUCCAACACCGUGACUUGGCCCUUCGUCCUCCAUGUCCACCGCGCCCUCGCCGCCAUUCAUAAGAACAACAUUGCAGCACCCAAUCUGUGGCACCCCAUCGACACAUACGACCGCGUCGCCCUGGCUCAUCGUGGCUAACCCCACCGACGAGGUAACUAGAUUUACCUUUUGCUUUUGUUCGAUUGUUUGACGGCCGAGCAACAGGGAUCGCGACCAGUCGGCAAGCUGACUGUUUUGGUUAACUGAUAAGUGAUAACUGAGGAAUUUAAAGCUGUGUGUGCUUGUCAUGUGCUUUCGGGUAGCUGUUCUUAACCACUGCCAAAAGUUUCGGAAGGUGAUAGAACCAAACAGGUAGUUCCUUAGCUGCCUGUGCAGUGUGCAGUGUGUCUCUGGACCAAAGGUUGUAAAUGUUGCAUAAAUGUUUUUUUUUAAAAAAAAAUCCAGUUGAGGUACUCUUGGGUCCAAAGCCAUAAAUGCAUAAAUAAGGUCCAAAGGCACUAAUUUCCAUUGCUAGCUUUCUUGUCACUUAGUUUCAUUACAUUUGACAUAUACCCAGAUGAUUUUUGUUCUUGUUUGUGUACAGGUUCAGAGUUUUUUAUGUAAUAAUUACUCUCUUUCCAUAUAUGCAGUACAUUUUUAUUACACGAUAACAUCAGUGUUAAUGUUCUAUAUGGCAUUACUAUCAUUAUUUUUCAACUUAUGUCAUGCAUAUCAUUCCAUAUCUUUUACUUCUCUUUUAUUAUGAAAAUGACAUCUUUCUGAUUCGUUGAGGGCAUGCGGGGUAGUAUAUCUGUUAUUUUAAUAUAUUCAGUGUUUUCAUCAAUAUAUUGACCAAAUAUUCGGUUUAUAUCAGUAAAGGGCCAUGUUCUUUUCACAAGAUCUGUUUCUGAAUAUACAGACUGUGUUGCAACAUUUAUAGAAUUCAAGUUGUCCGUAGUCCUGCUUUGCAUGAGUAAAUGCCAAUCUUAUGUGUCUGAACUCUUUUCUUCUGUGUCUGAACUCUCAAGUGAUGAUCUAUGUUUCCCAAAAAAUCUUAUGUCUAGCAAACUUAGUUUCUGUUUCCAAAUGAAAAAUCAAGUAGUGAAUAAUGUACCUGUAUUAAAUGUACUGGUCUCUUAUUUAGUAAUGUAUCUAGAUACAUAUGCUGAAUUUUUAUAUAUAGAAGCAUAUGUUGCUUUUACACAUGAAGGUGUAUAUGCUAUCAGGUUUCUAUAAUAUGGUUCAUAAGUGAACAGCAUCAAAUGUCUACGUUACUUUAGUUUGAAUGUACACGCUGAUAUAAAAUUUAGAGAGCAUUCUUGGAAUGUACAUACUGUUAAGAAAAUUUAGAUGAAUUAAAUCCUUAUGCCUUAUAUGUUUUUUCUCACACAGUUGUAAGUUUGUUUGGAGAAGGGGACAUUCACAAACUGCUUGAAAGAGGUGUUUUGGUAUCUCAAUAUAUGGUGGAAUAUUUACUACUGCUUUUAGUAACUCCUAGAUAAUCUUUUUUUACAUACAUGCAUAACUAAAUUUGCAUAUAUCUUCAUGUGCAAUUGCGCUCUCUGAUAUUACAAUGGUAGGAUUUGUCUUUGAAUUGGUAUAGUGACGUAUUUCUGAUUCAUUAAGGGCAAACUGGGGAGUAGAACUGUUAUGUGCGAGAUAUUCAGUUUAUAUUUCUAAACUUGGGUGCACUUUGAAUCAGGACGAAUAGGCUCAGUUGAAUCUGUUGAGUUACAUAAAGAAGAGGUGGAUGUAUUGAACUCACUAAUGUUUUUAGGAUGAUGCUUACUGGAUUGCCAAUUUUGAAGUUCCAUUCAGAUCAAAUAUUAAUGAUUUAUAGAUUCAGGUUUGUCUGAAAACGAUAUAAAACAAUAUGCUUUGCUGAACUUAAUACUGGGAGAUCACUAGGGUGGGGUAGACGGCCUUCAUGGCGUCUAGGUUCUAUUGUGGUCCAACACAUACUCUUUUUACCGAUCCUAAUAGAUUUGGCAUAGGUUUAUCUACAUCUGACUAUGACUACUGUAUAUUCCUCAAAAAUCCUAUUAGUAUAUGUUUUCUGUUCUGACUCGUCUGGUUGUCUCUUAUAUUAAAGGUAAGGAAAUUGAAGGAGUUGUAGCUAUCCAAAUACAUCAGCUUCUCAAAAUAGAAGAGCUAAAUAUACUAGUAAUAUGCCCGUGCUAACGCUACGUGUAUGUUUAGUAAUAGAAAUCAUGACACAUAGUAAAGAAAAGAUAAAGAUUAGGAAAGGAGAUGAAAAUUAGAUUGAAUACAAAAAUUUAGGGACGGAAUAUUCAGUUUUUGUUAGCAAUAAAUAAAUAAAUAAAUUCCUCAAUAAGAAGGGGGUUUCUCUUUUAAUUCCAGCGCGCGACCCUCUCCUCAGGUGGUGACUCGGUCACCCCUUGCCUCCUUCGGCCACCCUCUCCUCCUCUCCUCUCCUCUCCUCUUCCUCUUCCUCCCUCUCCUCGUCGCCCUUCCACCAAAGCGAGAGAUCGACCGACUCCUCUCCCUCCGCCGCCGACCCCCCCCCAGGUGUUGUUGAUCGCUUUGCGAAAUGGAGCUCCCAGUUGCUGAUCCUGGGCCGGUGAGGGCUGAAGGAUUGCUUCUGCAGUGUCCCUAUUGUGAUUCAGAGGCAAUGCACAAACUCGCGCAGUUCUUGCUCCCCGGCUUGGCUGCGGUAUGCAUUGACUGCACGACAGGCGAUCUCUUCAGGAAGCCGUCGGUUGUCGCCGUUGACAUGAGGAAGGAAAUGGUGGACUAUGUCACGCAGAGAAGCGAGACAUUCAUAUCCGAUUCGCUUAUCGAAUCAGAAGCAAGUCAGGAUCAAGAGAACGAGAUGCCGGUGGACCCUUUUGAGAUCGUGUCCAUCUUCAUGGAUGAUUUUAGUAGCACGAAGAGGAACAUUAUCGGCCAUGUCUCUGGGUGGUUGAUGAGCGACAGCCGCGAAGAUAAGAUUGAUGACUUUGUCCAAGAAAUGGAGAUGACCCGCUUCUGGCCGCUGGAAAGGAGAGAAGUUAUUGCUGAGGUCCUCCUCAAGAAUGUAGAACCUGAAAACCAAGUACCACUGCCCUGAGAAAUAUGAAAAUGAAGAACGUCUCGCUGAUCAUAAGGCCCAGUGUAGCUUCAGACCUGUUACCUGCCCCAAUGAUGGAUGCCGAGCGAAAGUUUCUGUUCGCUGCAUGCAAGACCAUGAUUCAGCUUGCCUGUUUAAAAUCCUUACAUGUGAGCAGAACUGUGAGAAGCGGCUUCUGAGGCGUGAUAUGGAUAGGCACUGCGUGACUGUGUGCCCCAUGAGGCCCAUGAAAUGCCCUUUUGGCUGUGAUUCCUCCUUUCCUGAGCGUAAUCUUGAGCAGCACUGUUCUGAGUUUCUUCAGGCACACCUCCAUAAACUCCUCAAGGUUAUUCAUAAGAAAGGUUUUACAGAUGAGGGGCUCAAGGACCAUGCUCUACUGCUGGAAAAGCAUGACAAUGAUGGUAAACUGGCUAAAUCUCGGGAUGUAAGAUCUCUUACUAAUGUUGUAAAGAAUCUUGAAGCCAAAAUAAAAGAUGAUUCGAGUUAGAGUGGAUGGCGUCUCCAGAGCAAAAUGCAAGUUUUUUUUUUUUGAGGCAGCAAAAUGCAGCAUGGAUAUUGAAUGGUAUAGUUGAAGAGUUGUUUCCACUCACAGUAUACACCGAAGAGUACAAGAUUCUGCACGUUUUUCCUUUACAACUAUAAUUUUCCCCUCAUGAUUUUUCUUUUCUCAAAAUCGGUUAGUUUUUUAUGGUGUAAAAGUAUAACAUUAUUUUAUCCUUGCUAUUUUGUCCAAGGAACUCUUUUUUUUUCAUAUAAAUUGAGAAUAAUUUAUCAGGAAUGCUAAUUUUUGUUUAAUUUAUGGAAGGGCGAUGCUCGAAGUAAGGGAUGUUUUUCCCAGUCUGAUUC